rnacentral:lncRNA from 1 species
GUUUUGAGAUUUGGAUUUAGGUCGCAUGAAAUGCACACCCGAAUUUAGGGAAGAUAACAUUAUUAGAUACGCGCCUAAAGAUGCUAACGCGUUAUUAUUUUUGAGAAGGCCGAGAAAUUCGCUAAACGGCCCUUCCCGAAAUCUAAGGAAUCAAUAUAUACAUUUAUAAGGGCCCCACAGUUUAGUGCUUUUUAUUAAGCGAGGCUUAUUUUUAAAAGGGUAAUCCUAAAGUGAGUCCACUUUUUCUAUUAUGUUCGUCUCUAGAUAUGAAAGAAGCAAAAAUCCUAGAUUAUUUACAUGCUAGGCAAGUCCGGCCUCUUAUUAAUUAUUAGACUUACACUAGAUGCUAACAAAACUUGCGCUUGAACUCGUAAAAAUGGAAAAUUAUUUUCACGCCUAUUCUACAUGCACUCCAUAACUUGUAACAAGUAAGAACAAGGUACAUCUACUCAAAUUAGAGGACACGUAUCAUUUUUUAUUCCAAUUUCAAACUUAAGUUAUGCCUAACUAAUGUAUUACUACAACUAGAUGAGGUUUGACCGUGCAGAACGGGCCCAACAUUUAGAAUUCAAAUUACAUUUAAUCCAUACAUACUUUAAAUAACUACAAUUCCACAAGUACAGAAACAAAGUUUCAUUCUUGGUAAAAGUGAUAACAUAGUAGACUGCCAAUUACUCACAUUAUAUAUAUUCAGAAUUUGUUCGGGAAAAUGAAAUUUUGCGUCCUUAUGAGACCAGACAAAUAGGUAACUCAACCCCGUCAUACAACUUUGUCCAUAUUUUAUGAUUCUUUGUGCUUUAUUUCAAUAAGUGUAUUUACUUCCUUGAAAAAGUUGUGUGAGAAUAUCAUAACUUCAGGAAAUCUAAAAGCACCCGAAGUUUCCUGCAAAAGUAAUUAACUGUAUUAAAAGCAACUCAGAAGCGAAGCUGGAGGUUUUAUCAACCAUUUAAUUUGUAAUUUUUUACAUGGAAGAAGUCCAAUAAAGAAGCAAUGUAGAAAUCUUAUAAAGAAUUGUUAAGUGAAGAGCAAUAAGAAAGAAUGAAAAAAAUAUAUAUGCUGAUUCAGUAUUUAGCUAUUUAAAAUUCUAUUCAAUAAUAUCAAUAGAUAAUAACAACAUUGUGUUUCUACAAUGAACUUGCAGUCCAAUCAUAUGUUAAAUGAUUAAUAAUAUAGGAACAAUCAGAUUCUAAAGAGCUAUUCUAUAAAAACUAAAUUAAAUUCAAAUGGAGAAAUAUAAAAAUAACCUGUUUAAGUCGUCCACAAUAACCAGAUAGGUGCCUCAAUUUAUCGUAUUAUCAAUUAGACACUUCCUUUCAAUUGAAGUAUGACCUCAUGAACCUUCACGCUGACAUAGAAAAGAGUGCUUUAUAUUCACAUUUGAGCAUGUAACACCCUCAAAAUUAUGUUUUUUCCUUUAAAAAGAAAAUUAACCUUACAUUAUAUGGAUCAACCAUAACUUUUAUGUGGGUCCCUCUAUAUUUAUAGUUUUUCCCACAUUAAUUCCCCUUUCUUUCCAAAAUAAUUCAUUUCCACCUCCAAACUUUCCUGACCUAAACAUGGCAACGUUUGUAGCUUAUUCACCUUUCGACUUGAAUCCACCUCCUCUUAUUCAAUAUUAAAAUAAAAAAAAUCAGUAAUAGCCACCAAGCCACAAUAAUAUCAAUUGGCCACCCUAAAAUUUUGGUCUCAUUUCCAGCAGUUCUCCAAUUCCCUUUUGAGUUUAAAAAUUAAGUUGUCUUUUAGCAAUUGGUAGCGAAAGCUCCACUUAUUCUGCAUUCCAUCAGCGGGAGUUUAGUAAUAAAUGAAGCACAAUAAUAAAGAAGCAGUAGUACAACUAUGUGAAUACUUGCCAAAUAAUUGUGUAAUUAAGUUGUCUUUUGGACUAAGAAAUUGUGAAUUUUGUUAUAUAUGGUAGGUGGAGUUUGGAAGAAAGAAAAAGAUGCGAGAUGAACAAGAGCGGAGGGGUCAUCUCUCAUCAGAGAAAAAGAUUGGAGGUGAGUGUAACUCACACAUAUGAACUACCAAACUCGGGUGUUCACGAGGUACACUUGAUAACCACUUUAAGUGUCAAAAUAAAUGAGCAGUUUAUAUUUUGCCAAGUCAAAACAAAACAAAAAUUAUUAGUGGAACCCAUACAAGAAUCUAGGCAAAAAUAUGUUACUCCCUCUAUCACUUGGAAUGAAAGGGAAUGAUACAUUACCCCAUGCGAAGUAGAGAGUUGUAAAUAUAGUUCAAAGAACUAUUCUCUCCAAAUUUAACAAUGCACAAUUUUAUUUGGUGCAGAUAGAGGAAGAACUUUAAAAUUGACGACAGAAAUUAAAAUCAAUAUUAUUUUUGUAAUAAUCUCUGAAAUAAGUUGGAGGGGAUAUCAAUACAAAGUUAACAAUAUUCUAAUUCUUAAUCUAUUUUUUAGUAGCUUUUAGAACUUGUUAGAAUUGGAAAUAUCAAAUGAGGCAAAUCAAUAGAACUAUUACAUUUGAAAGGGUUUGAAUUUUCGGCAAAUAGAGCUCUAUGACCUAAUAGUAUAGGCAUCACAUUAUUAGCAUAAGGAAAUUGUUCCAUAUCAAGAAUUACUCAUUUUCAAUGAAUGAAGGUUAGUUGAUUCCCUAUUUUUGUAGCACGAAAAACGCUUAUUUUCAAUAAGAUUAUUCGAUAUCAAUCACAUAAUCUUACUGAAAAGAAAUGGAGAAGAAACGCACAAUAUGUUUGUGGAGCAUGUCUUCCUAUCAAGGGAGAAUUCAUAUUAUUCGGCAAAUAACGUUGUAUUAAGUUUAACAUAUUUAUAUAAAUUAGUUAACUAAUUGUACUCCUUUAAAAGUUAAAUUCACAAUAAAAAAAAUACUCUGCUUACUUCUAAAGUGUGUACUUCUAAAUGCAUUUGGAGAAACAUUAAGAAAGCGGUAGGAGGAUGGUAAUCUUCACUAUAAAGAUGAUCGGCCAGAUUUUAGUAAAGAAGUUUUUUUAUCAGAAUUCAGUAAACGGAAAAUGGGAUCAAAAUUCAAUAAGCUUCUGGAUAUCAUCGAGAACAAAAAGAACAAAGGGAACAAUGCACAAACAUCCCCAAAUAAACAGACAAUGAAAUUUAUAAAGGCAAAGAAAAAAAGAAAAUUUGCAUGAAUAUAAGAUUCCAUCUGUGCACAUUCAACCGUGUAAUUUUAUCCCUAAAAAUUAUCAAAUUAGUGCACCAUGGAAAAUAUAUGAUUAUUUCAAGAAAAUUAAAGUAAAACAACUCCAAAUAUCUCCAUAAAGCACUAACAACAAAGACAAUCAGAUGCAUGUACACUAAAAUUAAGAAUACUUUAAAAAUAUUAUUACCUUUGAACAUAUCGCAAAGCUUGUCCCCAGAGAUUCAACCUUUAAAGAGCAGAAAAUAUAUAGAAGAAGACCACUAUUGUUAUCAGCGAAGAACUCCAAGAUCUACCCUAAUCUCUUCAAACUGACGCAUAACUCUCAAACUACGAAAAUCAAAUAAGAUCGGAAAAUAUAAUAAGAGAAAAAUAGUAAGAUUUGGAAAAAAUUAAAAAAGGAGUAGACCUGAAAGUAGCAAUACCCAGUUGAGAAAAUGGAGAGAACUAGAAAAAAAAUUGUUUGAGAAGUAUGGGGAGAAAUUGAACAAGUAUAACGAAAAAAGAAGGUAAAACAAUCAAUCUUAAUCUUUUGACAAACUGGAAAAAGAUUUGGAAAAAAAUUGAAAGAAAAGUAUACCUCAAAUUGGAAUAGGAGAUGGAAUUGGGAGAUGAAAGAGAUAUCUUCUAGAAUUGUGUAGUGUUAGCAUUGGAAAAAGCCAUCUCGGCAAAGCACUUUUAUGAUUGAGCUAAAUGACAACUAUACCAUUGGUCGACCGUCAUGGCUUUUCUAUAUAAUAGAAAUAUUGAGAAGGACAUGCUUAGACUGGAAUGAUUAACGACUAAAUCGAGCUAUCAAACAUACUUCACCAAUUUAAAUGCCUAUUCCUUGAUCCUAAGCCCGAAUCAUUGGGGUUAAAACAUAAAGUGUUGAAUUUACUAAGUCAAUUAUUAGGCCCGAUUUUGACAUUACCAUGAUUUAUAUUCUGAUUUCAUAACCCAUUUCGAACUAUAAUGAAUAAUUAGCACAUGAAUUCAAGUUACAUUACACUAAAACCACUAUUCAGAUUGAAUAAAUUCUAAUUCAAAUUUUAUAAUCCAAUAUUGUUUAAAGUCCACAUUAUACAAUCCAAUUUCGAGCCUAAUUGUACAAUAUAAACGCAUACUUAAAGUAAGCCUAAGCAAAUGCAAAUCUCCUAGUAUCUAUUCUAGUAUAACAACUUGCACGCACAUACUUCAAGAGGUAAAUAUGUGAGACUUUUAUUUUAGUAUUUCAUUUCAACAGCUACAUCAAAUCAAUAUCUAGAAUGUGUACCUGAUUUUUGAAAAUAUAAGAAGAGGAAGAAGAGGAUCAGCAACAAUAGCGACAGCAAUAUGACAACGCAGUUCCAGUAACAACAACAGUAAACCAGUAUCAAACAGUAGCAAGAAUCCCAUGAAAGAUUUGAAACCAAGCAAGAACAAACAAGGAACUUUCAAAACCCAACAGAAACUCAAGAAAUACCACACUGAAAGACUCGGCAGUACCCGAAAUGCACUCAUAGUUGAAGCAAAAGUGAGACAGACACAAGAAAGCAGUAUUUCAUAUUGUGAAUACUCGAAGAAACAAGUUGAAACUUUUUGACACAAUGGCAAGCUAACACUGAGUUUUAACCAUAAGAGAAGCCUAACUUUCAGUUUCUAAACUCUCAAAGACUAACUUCUGCCCUUUAAGUUCUGAAAUUUUUUGAUCUUCUAAAAAUCCUCUCAAAAAUUUUCUCAACAUAUUGUUCUCCUUCUUCUAAGUAUCAAAUGACUUUUAUUUAUAUCUAAAAUCAUACUCUCUUCCCCUCCCUUUUAAUUAUUAUUACUACCCUCUUUUUAUUAUUACCCUUCCAAUUACCCUCCCUUUCCUUUAAUUUUCAGCCCCCCAAAUAUUUUCUUAUAUGUCUCGUUUUUUAACCUUUUAUCAUUACUUAUACUAUUCCUAAUUCCAAUUAAGCAAACACUCUCAUCACUUAAGGGUCCUCCUCUACCAAUUAGUUCAAAUAGAAGUUAUUAGGGGUCUUACUGGGUAGACUAUUCAGUCAAACCAGAUUUUUUUAUUCUUCUAUUCCUAAAACACCCCUGAAAUCCCCUAACUAUUACUGUAUUGCCCUAAACUGAAGUUACAUCUGUGUAAAUUUAAACCUGAAACUAAUUUUGGUUAACACCUAAAUUACUACAGCUAUAUCUAAUCUUUCUGCCAAUUGAAUGACUAAGUUAAAUUAAUUGAAACAAAUGAACUGAAUUUAAAUCAAAACCAACAAAAAAAAAUUAAUUGAAACAAAUGAACUGAUUUAAAUCAAAACCAACACAAAACUCAACAGAAGCAUUGAAACUGAAGCUGAAACUGAAUCAAAAUCAACAUGGAUGCAGGGAUUAAACUAACACGAUUCUAAUUCGAAUCUAUACAAGAAUGCACAAUCAUUGUUAGUAUAUUGACAAUACCCUGAAGAUAAGUGCCCAAAAAUCAAUACAUACAACAUCGGACCCCAAACUAUUUGACGACAUUGAUGCAAUCGACUACACAAAUUAUAUCACAUAAUAAUUAACAACAGAGAAACAGAACAGAAAUAAACUAACAAGUGAUUCGAAUUGUUUUUGACAAAAAACAGGGAACUUAAGGAAGCUAAUUAAUCGAUGAAUCUACUUAAACGAUUGCAUAUAACAACUGACAACAAGCAACCAGAAACAGACAAUCAGGCAAUUCAAGUAGCAUUUAACAAAACGGGAAGUUAUAAUACAAUUUAACUAAUUGACAAAAUUGGUUGAAUCGAUUAAAGAACCUAUACUAUAUACUCAACAAAUGAGCAGAAACAAAUUUGACGAAAUAAACGGUCAGAUGGAGGAGAAAUAGAACAGUUGAAAAAAAUAAUAAAAAACAUUAAUACAACAAAACUAAACAACAACAAAAAUAGAAACAAAAGAAAAAGGAAAAAUACCUCAGAGAGAUUAGAAAUCACACGGACUUGGACUUGAAAAUUGUUGAGAUCAAACAGACCUUAAUCGAGUGUUUUCAAUUAAAAACACUUCCACUAAGGUCCCUUGAACACCCAAAGCCUUCAAUUUGGACAUAAAUGCGGCUUGAGUUUUUCUAGGGUUCUUGGGCUCGGAUUUGGGGCUUGAAUGUUUCUGGGAAGAUUCGAACGGAACCAAUGUUGUUUAGGGUAUGAAGGAGGUUAGGGGUGUGUCUGGUGUGAGUUUGGCAUGGAUUGGGGUAGGUCUGAGUUCUACUCGAAUUUUCAAAUGAAGAUUCGACAAGUUCCAGGUUGAUUCGAGCUAAACGGUUCAUGGAUUUGGAUUGGGGGUGGUUAGAUGGUCUAAGGGUGUUAAUUUGGUG